UAGUGAUCAAGAAUUACGCCAUUCGUCUGACUACAGGCAUAUUCUAAGAUUAUAUGUAGACAAGUACAUCCACCAUGUAUUAAAUUUAUUAUAAUAUAAUGUCCAAGCACAAAUGGCCAGAGCUUGUGGGCAAGCCAUGGAAAGAAGCUGAAGAGGCCCUGAGACGGGACUACCAAAACUUAUGUGUACAAAUUCUACCAGUGGGAAGCAUGGUGACUAAAGAUUACAACACAGAUAGAGUCCGGGUCUUCAUACAUGCGGAUGGUACCGUGGCUAUUAUUCCAAAAAUAGGCUGAAAAGAGAACAAUGACAUCAUUGGUGCUAUUAAAUGAAGAUAAUACUAGGGACAGUGUUAUUACAAGACACUAAUGCCUUUUCAGCAUUAUUCGUAACCAUGCAGAUGGUUUUCUUUGUAUGCCAGUUGACAGUUGGUUAAAGGCUCAUUUGCAGGUUUCAGAAGCCUAGGAAUGUAAUUUUUCCUGUGUCCAGUUUCAUGAAGCAAUCCUAGCACUUUAAUUGUCAUCACUUUAAUUGCAUAAGGUAGUUAUGCACUUAAGGUGAUUUUAGUGCUAAAAUCGUUUCUGGGAAUGGUGCCCUAGUAUACCAAAUGAAGGCAUUUAUGUACGAUAUGUUCCAGGUGUUUGAAAAUAAAAUUAUAUUUUCAUCAACCCUUA